GACAGAGGUGCCAAGCGUUAGGCGGAAUCACUGGGCUUAAAGCGUGUGUAGGCGGGGCGUUAAGUACCUUGUGAAAUCCCUCGGCUCAACCGGGGAACGGCUGGGUAUACUGGCGAUCUUGAGCCACCUAGGGGCAGUCGGAACAAGUGGUGGAGCGGUGAAAUGCGUAGAUAUCACUUGGAACGCCAAUGGUGAAAACAGACUGCUGGGGGUGUGCUGACGCUGAGACACGAAAGCCAGGGGAGCAAACGGG
rnacentral:rRNA from 1 species